GACGAACGCUGGCGGCGUGCUUAACACAUGCAAGUCGAGCGGUAAGGCCCUUUCGGGGGUACACGAGCGGCGAACGGGUGAGUAACACGUGGGUGACCUGCCCUUAGCUCUGGGAUAAGCCUGGGAAACUGGGUCUAAUACCGGAUAUGACCUCAUGACUCAUGUUGUGGGGUGGAAAGCCUUGUGCGGCUAGGGAUGGGCCCGCGGUCUAUCAGCUUGUUGGUGGGGUAAUUGCCUACCAAGGCGACGACGGGUAGCCGGCCUGAGAGGGCGACCGGCCACACUGGGACUGAGACACGGCCCAGACUCCUACGGGAGGCAGCAGUGGGGAAUCUUGCGCAAUGGGCGAAAGCCUGACGCAGCGACGCCGCGUGAGGGAUGACGGCCUCGGUGUAA
rnacentral:rRNA from 1 species